CUCUUCUCCGCCUCCCCCUCUCUCUGCUCCCCCUCUCUCUCAUAUCCCAGCUCCUCUUCUCUGCCUCCCUCUCUCUCAUCUUCAAAUUGUUUUGGUUUAAUGGAGGACAGAGGAACUAGAUCUGUUUUCUCUCUCCUCCGACACCCACUUCCGGUCACCACCGUGACUCACCUCCACCAUCACAGACCUCACCGACCUCUGACGAGUUUAACGCAGCCUCUUGACUUCCGGCAACAACCCGUGAAGGACCCUGUGCUUUUUCUCAAACCGACGUCGUCUUACUUGGAAAACGGAGGCAGUACUCCUGGGCUCGAUAUCGAAGUACUCCCUGAAUCAGGUAUCAAAGACAUAUCGAGAAGAAAAAAUGUUACAAGAAGCAUAUGUAUAAUGUAUUCAUUGUAAAGGCUAAAGUCGGACUGAGUGCUUUUGUACAGGCAGUCGGACUGAGUGCUUUUGUACAGGCAGUAGGAAUCGGUAAAGGGAAGCAAGAUCUAACAGGCAUUUCCAUGGAGUCUUCAAACUAAAAUCAAGUUCUUCCUGUUUUUGUUGCUUCUUGUUGCUUACCUACUUCUGCUUUCUACUGCAGUGCUUCGGAAAAGACCGGCUCCUUUAGCUCACGGUACCCCUUUGGCGAAUUCCGUGGUUUAGUUUCUCCAGAGUUGAAGGAUGGAAUCUCAAUUGUCACCAACUUGAGGAGGAAAAAGAUUAUGAAAGCGAAGUUCAGACUUCCUCCACUCUCAGAUGCAACACCAGCACCUCAACACACCCGCUCAUUGUUUUUAGGAAGUUUCUUUUGCACAUGUGGUGAAGGAACUAAUGUCCAUAAAUAGCUUCUAGGAUAUUGUAUUUCCUUUUCGAUUUGCAAUUAAGAAACUAUUUGUAUAUGAUGACUCUAUGAAUAUAAGUUCGCAUAUUCUUUUCUUAAUUUAUUGUUAUUUUAUGAGUUAUUGAA